GGCAUCGCCCACCCCUCGGCCCUCUCCAGUGUCUACCUGCUGCUCUUCCUGGCCACCUGCACCUGGUGGGCCUGCCACUUUCCCAUCAGCACUCGGGGCUUCAGCAGACUCUGCGUCGCGGUGGGGUGCUUCGGCGCCGGCCAUCUCAUCUGCCUCUACUGCUACCAGAUGCCCUUGGCACAGGCUCUGCUCCCGCCUGCCGGCAUCUGGGCUAGGGUGCUGGGUCUCAAGGACUUCGUGGGUCCCACCAACUGCUCCAGCCCCCAUGCGCUGGUCCUCAACACCAGCCUGGACUGGCCUGUGUAUGCCAGCCCCGGCGUCCUCCUGCUGCUGUGCUACGCCACGGCCUCUCUG
rnacentral:lncRNA from 1 species